rnacentral:rRNA from 1 species
GACGAACGCUGGCGGCGUGCUUAACACAUGCAAGUCGAACGGUGAAAGGGAGCUUGCUCCCUGGAUCAGUGGCGAACGGGUGAGUAACACGUGGGCAACCUGCCCCAGACUUCGGGAUAACGCUUCGAAAGGAGUGCUAAUACCGGAUACGAACUCCUUGGGCAUCCUUGGGGUUGGAAAGUUUUUCGGUCUGGGAUGGGCCCGCGGCCUAUCAGCUUGUUGGUGAGGUAACGGCUCACCAAGGCGACGACGGGUAGCCGGCCUGAGAGGGCGACCGGCCACACUGGGACUGAGACACGGCCCAGACUCCUACGGGAGGCAGCAGUGGGGAAUAUUGCGCAAUGGGCGAAAGCCUGACGCAGCAACGCCGCGUGAGGGAUGACGGCCUUCGGGUUGUAAACCUCUUUCAGCAGGGAAGAAGCGAAAGUGACGGUACCUGCAGAAGAAGCACCGGCUAACUACGUGCCAGCAGCCGCAGUAAGAC